rnacentral:sRNA from 1 species
AAUUAGGCUCUGCAACUGGAUACAGAUAGAGUGAACGCUAAGACUAGGUCAGGGCCGGAUAGACUAUUUCUUCCUUCCCUGCCUCCCUAAGCUUGUUCCACAUGCAUUAACCCUCCUAUGCUGCUUAUCAUGAAAUUGCCUUGUGGGGAGAACAGAUCGAUUCAGCACUGGCCAGGUCAGCCUGUUACCUCAGUGUAACUUGAUCCAUCUCGAUUGUUCUCUCUGACUCCUCCAUUAAAAAAGAAGGUGACCCUCUGACCCUGGAGACAGUGUCGCCGGGGCUUCUGGUGCCUUGUAAUAAGCUCUACAUCCCUAUUCCUCUUCUGAUUUUAACAGAUUCCCGAGCAGGUGAAGAAGGCUCGAUCAGGGCAGUGGAUCAUGCCGUGAUCGGUGGCGUCGUGGCGGUGGUGGUGUUCGCCAUGCUGUGCUUGCUCAUCAUUCUGGGGCGCUAUUUUGCCAGACAUAAAGGUACAUACUUCACUCAUGAAGCCAAAGGAGCCGAUGACGCAGCAGACGCAGACACAGCUAUAAUCAAUGCAGAAGGAGGACAGAACAACUCCGAAGAAAAGAAAGAGUACUUCAUCUAGAUCAGCCUUUUUGUUUCAAUGAGGUGUCCAACUGGCCCUAUUUAGAUGAUAAAGAGACAGUGAUAUUGGAACUUGCGAGAAAUUCGUGUGUUUUUUUAUGAAUGGGUGGAAAGGUGUGAGACUGGGAAGGCUUGGGAUUUGCUGUGU